rnacentral:rRNA from 1 species
AGUGAACGCUGGCGGUAGGCCUAACACAUGCAAGUCGAACGGCAGCACAGUAAGAGCUCGCUCUUACGGGUGGCGAGUGGCGGACGGGUGAGGCAUACAUCGUCAUCUACUUUUCCGUGGGGGAUAACGUAGGGCAACUUACGCUACUACAUCACACCACCUACCAGUGAAAGCAGGUGUUAAUCGUACAUUUCCCUCACUCAUGGACCAACGUGGGAUUUGUUAGUUGGCGGGGUAAAGGCCCACCAAGGCGACGAUCCGUAGCUGGUCUGAGAGGAUGAUCGGCAAAACUGGAACUGAGAAACGGUCCAGACUCCUACGGGAGGCACAAGUGGGGAAUAUUGGACAAGGGGCGCAAGCCUGAUCCAGACCUACCGCGUAGGUGAAGAAGGCCUUCGGGUUGUAAAGCCCGUUUGUAGGGAAAGAAAAGCAGCAGGUUGAUACCCCGCUGUUCUGACGGUACCCAAAGAAUAAGCACCGGCUAACUACGUG